GUAAAAUAAUGAAUUAAUGGUUGUGUUAUUAUUUUUAUUUUUUUUAUUUUUAUUUUAUUUUCCCUUUUACAGAUUAACAUUUUAGAAGAUGAACUAGAAGAGAAAGAAAGAAUGAGACAAAGGAUGGCCUCAUUAAUGCCAUUUAACCAAUCUGCUGUUUAUACUCCAGAAGAAAAUGAAGAUAAACCGCAGGAGAUGGAUAUGAUUGACGAAGAAGAAAAAGAAGAAAUUGAUAAUUUAUUAAACUCCAUAAAUGAAAUUAAUGUUGAUGACAAAACACCAGAAAAAAAGAAAAUAUCUAUCGAUAUUGAGCUUAAAGACAACACAAUUGUAGAAGCUAAUGAAAUGAACAAAAAAGGCAACGCAAGAUUUAAACAACAGGUUUUAAGGAACGGUAAUGGAGAAAAAAAAAAAAAAAAAAAAACCUUAUUUUUAUAUAAUUUCCUUUUGCUAUAUAUAAAUAUAUAUAUAAUAUGUUUUAUCUUUUUAUUUAUAUUAUAUACACAUAUGUAUUGCAUAUUCCUUUUAACACAUUAUGCUAAUGAAUAUUUAGGUCCCUUAACAAGGUAAUAAAUAUGGACAUCAAAUUAUCCACCAAUAACUCCCCCUCGCCAUAAUUUUUUUUUUUUUUUUUAAUUAUAUUUUAACCGUAUUCAAAAAAUAUAAAUUAUAGCUCAAAUCUAUGAGGAAGAUAUUUGUUCGCAUAUAUGUAUGAAUAUUUUUAUUCAUAAUUUUUCGUUUUUUUUAUUUUUUUUACCAAAUUAUCAUUUUAUAUAUGUG
rnacentral:lncRNA from 1 species